rnacentral:misc_RNA from 1 species
UCCGGCUUAUCACCGGCAGUCCCUCUAGAGUGCCCAACUAAAUGGUGGCAACUAAUUACGAGGGUUGCGCUCGUUGCGGGACUUAACCCAACACCUCCACGGCAGCCCCGAAGGGAAGCUCCAUCUCUGGAGCAGUCCACCGCAGUUCAAACCCAGGUAAGGUUCUUCGCGUUGCGUCGAAUUAAACCACAUGCUCCACCGCUUGUGCGGGUCCCCGUCAAUUCCUUUGAGUUUUAAUCUUGCGACCGUACUCCCCAGGCGGUCGACUUCACGCGUUAGCUGCGUUACCGAAGGAGUUACCCUCCGACAACUAGUCGACAUCGUUUAGGGCGUGGACUAC